rnacentral:lncRNA from 1 species
AAAAUGUAAACGCGUCCAGUUGUGGAAACCGGCCACAAAGAGUUACAAAGACCCAUAUAGAGUAGCUGUAAAGACACACAGACCUGCAGGAUCAGAGGGAGGGAAAAGGUUGAAAAGAGAAAGUAAAGCAUGAAGAGGAAAAAGGGAACGGAGACAAAGCUUGGAUUUGGAUAUGGCGGCAAAGAAUGGGGAAAAGAAAAAGAGGUUUAAGAGGAGAAAGCAAGCAGGAAACCCCCGAGUCUCUGUGGGAGUCGGUUAAAGAGUGUAAAGAUCAAGAUGAAGUUCAAAGUCAAGCAUGGGCAAAGGUAACAAGUCUGAAUUAUUUUGUAUCCUCCCAUCCACAAAUUUGACAUGACACCAAAAUCAGCUUUCCCUGUGACACUGAUGAAACGAUUUAAUCCAGUCUUAUUGUGUUUGAUUUUUUUUUUUUUUAAUAUAUAGUCACUGUCCUGAUCCCUCAGACAGUUAGAUGAUGUGUUUGAAAAGAGCUUGCUUCAUCUUUUAUCUCUUAAAAAAAAAAAAAAGGCAGUCAGCUGAGCGUGUUUGUGUGUUGUUUUCUCACCUGUCUUACAGUAAUGUAAACGGUGUCUUUUAUAAAUGUUUUUACAUGGUAAGCCGGGCCUCACAAAUUUAACUAAAGUAAAAGUUUAUGAAGUGCAUGGUUCUUUUUCUUGAGAAGCCUUUUAUUUGUUUAGGAGAAAAAAAUAUUUCUUUAAAUUUGUGAGGCCUUAAAAAAAGAGAAAGAAACAGAAACCUUAACCACUCAGCAUAUUUGAGGACGUGCGUGAUGCCGAAGAUGCUCUUCACAGCCUGGACAGGAAGUGGGUCUGUGGUCGGCAGAUUGAAAUCCAGUUUGCACAGGGCGACAGGAAAACACCAAAUCAGAUGAAAUCAAAGGAGCGGCGUUCCCCGGGAAGAUCCUCCCGGUAUGACGACUACGAACGAGACAGCCGGCGCCGGCGGUCACGCAGCCGCAGUUACGACAGAUACAGGUCGCGCAGCCCAUCUUACGAUCGCCGCCGCAGACGUUCAGAGAGUCCUCGAGAGUCUCGUGGACGGGUGUAUGGAAGAGGAAGAAGCAGGAGCCGCGAGGAUGAAAGAUACAAGCAGAGACCCCGGAGAGUCUCCAGAGAGCGAUCCCGCUCCAGAUCCGCAUCUCCACGAGAGAACGUCAAACCGCCGUCCACCUCCCGCUACGUUGAGGAAGAAGUGCGACAGACGCAUUCCCCGUCCCGCUCCAGGUCCCGGUCUGCGUCGAGAUCGCACUCUCGCUCACGUUCUCGGUCCCGGUCCUGGGCCGGGCGCAAGACAGGAGGACGCUAAAGCAGAACCCACUCCCCACCCCGUUCCCCCGGUUCUGUCAGACAGAGCAGAGCUGGUCGUUUUGUUAAGUAAAGGUGUUUGUUUGCCAUGAAUGUAACGUCCAUUUGUAGAAAGCUCGUUUUCGCUAUUCCAUUUUAAGAACAGCGCUGCAGCUCCUCGGCUUGGUUUUAUAAAGUUGUUCUGUGAUAUUCUCUUUAGGAGCAAGAUUCAGCGGUUUCUGCGCUCAGCCUGACGGGAAGAAUACACAGUCUUUUUUAUAUAUAUACAACCAGUUACUGAUGAUUUUUGUUUUCUAAACCCUAUGCACCCACUUUUGCUAAACAAUCCCUGACAUUCAGUAUUUUAAUCAAGUAUUGAGUCUGUUGGUGAACCAAACACAUCUUUGUGUGUUUUAUAACUAAUCGUGUACUUGGUACUUUACUGUCAGCCAGUUUCACCGCUGUUUUUUAAAUUUACAUUUGUUUGACAGUGAUAACCCAUCACCAUGAGAUAAAUGUAUUCAAGAUUUUUUUAAAGACGUGUUUUAUGGAAGAAACUGAGAACUUCUUGAAAGAAAAGGCAUUAAAGCUGAUGGCGUGUGUCUGCAGUUUAGUCAAGUACAUGAGCACAGGUGCUAAAACACACAGAGGUGAUGCUGUGGUCCCUAAAGUGUUAAAGACGUCAACAACAAGCUGACCUAUACAGUCAUUUGUUUUCUCUUUGUGCUGUUUUCUGUAAGAGUUAAACCCUUUUUUCUUUUCCCCCCCCCCCCCCCCCAAGUUAUUGUUUCUCUGAGGAGAAGCAGGUUUACUUGACGGUGUUUUUCAGAACAACUCGUGUCGCUGCAUGUUUUAUUCUUAUCUUCUAUCUUUAGUAGGAAAAAAACUGUUAUUUUGAUUAAUAAAUGGUUAACUUUUGGUUAAAGAAAACAC